UAACGACCUACUCGCUCCACCCUGGCGGCAUUCACACGGAACUGCAGCGUAACCUGGAUGACGCCUACGGCUGGCUGUACUCCCUUCUCAAACCCUUGUUCCUCGUUGGCUUGCGUCUGUUUGGAAAGACUCCUCAACAAGGCGCCCAGACCACCAUCCACUGCGCAGUAUCAGAAGGUCUGGAGAGUUCCUCUGGACUGUACUUCACGGACUGUGCUCCGAAAGAGCCGAUUUCAGAAGCCAAGGAUGAAGAAGUUGCCAAGAAACUCUGGGAGCUCAGUGAGAAAAUGGUCGGACUGAAGUAAAAGAAAAGAUUUUUUUUCGUUUUUUUUUCCUGAUAGCUCAUACUAUUCCUAGGGGAUUAUUAGAGGUUCUAGCAUUGUCCAAUUUUGGGAGCACAUACAUUUUCGAUUCAACGUAUGUGAUCAUAUACGUAGAUAAAACGCUUAAUGUAUACUUUCAUUUUAUAUGACUGGUAUAAGGUAGUGCAUUGUGUGGUAAUUAACAAUUAGAAAUUUAUAUGAUUAAGUAGUUGAAUAACAAACUUUAUCAUAUAUAGUCAGAUGACGUUAACCAAUGAGGAGGCUCCAUUUUGCCACAACGACUGGUCUCUGUAUUCAGUGUAUUGACAACUUUUUGCAAAGUUUCCAUUGGAUAAUUUUUUACUUCAGUUCAGUUAAGUCUAAAUGAUUUGUUCCUAAUCAAUGUUUUUCAAAGAUCUGGAUUUACAAGAAGGCCUGUUACUAUCAACUUGACUUAUGACUUGACAAAUGCUUCAAGGUGUGUAAGAUUAAGGGUUAUAUAUGCUUGUCAUAA